rnacentral:rRNA from 1 species
GGGCGAUUGGGCCGACGGAAAGAUUUAUCGCUAAAGGAUCGGCCCGCGUCUGAUUAGGUAGUUGGUAGGGUAACGGCCUACCAAGCCUACGAUCAGUAGCUGGUCUGAGAGGAUGAUCAGCCACACUGGGACUGAGACACGGCCCAGACUCCUACGGGAGGCAGCAGUGGGGAAUAUUGGACAAUGGGGGAAACCCUGAUCCAGCCAUGCCGCGUGAGUGAAGAAGGCCUUCGGGUUGUAAAGCUCUUUCGGCGGGGACGAUGAUGACGGUACCCGCAUAAGAAGCCCCGGCAAACUUCGUGCCAGCAGCCGCGGUAAUA